AUCACGCCAGAGACCUCGGGUGAGAGAGAGAUUGAGGCAUUGCCGGUGCCUUUCGGCUGCCUUGCCGGUCAGGCUAAAUUGGGAGGGCUGAGUGCUUCACCGACAUACACCGCGUGUUUGCGUGACCUUUCGGGGUGGGGAAUGGCGGGACUCGUCGGGAAUUCGUCACCGAACUUGGGGACGCCACAGCAGAGCCACCUGUACCGUGGGCAGGAUAUGUGGGCGUACUAUAUCCAGCGUGAGGUCACGAGUCAUAUGAAGAGCAUGUUGGUACCUGGAAUCUCAAGUCCCAGGUCAAGAACAGGUACCGCAGGAUGAGGCGCAUGGAGGAUGCUGUGCUGUGUUCGUGAGAGGUCUAGGCCGUCGUCUCCUAGUCAACUUUGGGUUGCUGGACCGUUGUCUCCUUAUAAUGUAAUUAUUUAUUUAUUUUGUAUAGAACUCAUAUUAUAUAGUAAAGUUGUGACAUUCGAUCCUGUGCCAUGAUUCAUCAUAUGUGUAAGACUUGGUCCCAGCACACCUGGUGAUUAUGUUCGCGUCCGGGUCUUGGUGCCUCGAAACCCGGGUGUGACAGUUCGGAGGCCCAACUCCUUGUACACGGGCUUAGAGUGGGUUGUGUGACGGCAGUGGGCCGGUGUAAGCUGUGACGCUGUGUCGCCAUAUGGCUGGUCGAUGUAUGUGAGUCAUGAGAAAAACAUUGCAGCAACUAAGAACACGCAGCUUUCCUCUG
rnacentral:lncRNA from 7 species